GACGAACGCUGGCGGCGUGCUUAACACAUGCCAGUCGAACGGAAAGGCCCUGCUUUUGUGGGGUGCUCGAGUGGCGAACGGGUGAGUAACACGUGAGUAACCUGCCCUUGACUUUGGGAUAACUUCAGGAAACUGGGGCUAAUACCGGAUAGGAGCUCCUGCUGCAUGGUGGGGGUUGGAAAGUUUCGGCGGUUGGGGAUGGACUCGCGGCUUAUCAGCUUGUUGGUGGGGUAGUGGCUUACCAAGGCUUUGACGGGUAGCCGGCCUGAGAGGGUGACCGGCCACAUUGGGACUGAGAUACGGCCCAGACGCCUAAGGGAGGCAGCAGUGGGGAAUAUUGCACAAUGGGCGGAAGCCUGAUGCAGCAACGCCGCGUGCGGGAUGACGGCCUUCGGGUUGUAAACCGCUUUCGCCUGUGACGAAGCGUGAGUGACGGUAAUGGGUAAAGAAGCACCGGCGAACUACGU
rnacentral:rRNA from 1 species